GAAACGGCCGUGUGUUGAUCCGCUCGGUGCGGUGGGCCGUAGGACGCACAAGGGCGGAUCGUAACGGGCGCGUCGCGUAGCCUCGCGAAUUCGCGCGAGGAAACGUGUCAAUCUCGUCGCCGCCUGGCCGCCUGUUUUCGCCAGCCGUCCUCGCGUACAUAUUUCGCUCGCACGCGAUCGUGUGCGUGCAUGCGUGCGUGCGUGCGUACGAGCAAGCGAGCGAACGAGCGAUCGGGCGAGCAACGAUCGAGCCUUAGCUGGCUUGCUGGCUAGUCGAUUGGCGAGAUUGAACGGACGUGAUUCACGAAUUCGCGAAUGCGCUCGCGACGCCCCGCGCGUACGGCGAUCUGAAAGCGAACAACCAAGUGUGCCUCGAGAGCUUUUAGUCGAGAAACCGAUCUGCACGAGGCCGUUCGAGAGAAAGAAGGAGAAAAAGAGAGAGAGAGAGAGAACGAGCUAGUUAGCGAGUGAGCAGGCAGGCAUCUCGUAACGCUAGAUUCAGGGCACAUGGGAUCAUCCGGGCCCGUCUCGAGAUGAACGGUGAUUUCGGGUACGUUUACAUGAAUGGGGACAUCGGGAAGCUGCCACCAGGGGCGGUCUACCCAGCCACCCCUGAACCUCUGGGUCUACAGGUUGCAGGAGCGAUUGGCGGUGGAGUGCCUAAUAUAGACUACGGAGUCAUGAACGGUGCGCCAAGUGGCAGUGAACUGAUUCUCGAAGCUGGCGUUGGCAGCUUGGAACCAUCUCCUCAACACGCCAUAGGCAUGCAUGGAGGGGCUAUUGGAUACAGCCCAGUAGAUGUUGCUGCUUUGGGCGAUGCUUCUGCCGCUCCACCACCAUCUGCAUCAAUGGCUGAUCUAAAUGUUCCUGGUAUACCCUUGGAACAGCUCAAGCAGAUGCUCUCUUCGCAACUCGAGUACUACUUCUCCAGAGAGAAUUUAGCCAACGAUACCUAUUUGUUGUCACAAAUGGAUAAUGAUCAGUAUGUGCCGAUAUGGACAGUAGCAAAUUUUAAUCAAGUUAAGAAGCUGACGAAAGAUAUCAAGCUCAUAACAGAGGUGCUGAGAGAAUCUCCCAAUGUACAAGUGGAUGAGGAAGGACAAAAAGUGAGACCCAAUCACAAACGAUGUAUCGUGAUACUUCGCGAGAUACCAGAUAGUACUCCAUUGGAGGAUGUAAAGAAAUUAUUUUCCGGAGAGGGAUGUCCGAGGCUUAUUUCGUGCGAGUUUGCUCAUAAUAGUUCGUGGUACGUGACAUUUGAAUCUGACGACGAUGCUCAAAAGGCCUACCGGUUUUUACGCGAGGAAGUUCGAGAAUUUCAGGGAAAGCCAAUAAUGGCAAGAAUUAAAGCUAAACCAAUGAACAGGCUACCUAUACCAACGGUUGGUGUAGGUGGUAUAAAGAAUGGCUACAGAACUCCAGCCACUCCUACUGUUUACGAUCCGAGCAGUUAUACGGCUGGACAGCAACGUUUUCUCUAUACUAAUGGUACGACCAUGCCUCAAACGACUAUGCCGGCGUACGCGAAUCAGCUUGUUUACCAUCAACCAUUCUAUGCCGCCAGUAUGUUGCCUUGGGGACCAACUAGUCCCGCUUAUUUCGAUAUGUCCACUGUUUUUCCGAUGAACGGAAUCACACCGCACAACACGUUUACUCGUUCAAAUCCAAGAUACAAUAAUUCUCGCCACAGAAAUAGACAAAGAAACGGCUCCGACCGAAGCUGCUUGAUGGAUCCCGCCAACCCCAGCAACAAUAGUAACAACCAUCACCAUCAUCAUCACCAUCAUCACCACCAUCAUCAGCCGUCGUCCAUGCCGCCGCUGAGCAAUCGUAGCUCUCAUCCCCCCACCGGGGGCGGUGGCAACAUGUCUCUAAGCUCCACGUCCACCUAUCACGCUUCGAGCCUGCCUUCCUCGAAGCCGCCCUCCUCGUCGUCCUCUUCCUACCAGUCCAGCACAAAGUUCCAUUCCUCGUCGUCUGCCACAUCAUCCGUCGAGCACGCGAAGGGAUCUUCCUCUUCCUUGUCAUCCUCCGCGCUGGAUCAGGAUAUGACAACGGUGACAGUCGAAUCCUCUUCCUCCUCCAUCUCCUUAUCCUCGGCGCCUUCGUUUCCUCGCCACCGUACCCAUCGCAGGACCAAAGAUCAGGACGCGAAGGUAUCUGCGGGGAAUCACUCAUUGCCAGCGAUCAAAGAAUCUUUGCCGGCAAGCGGAGGUAGCAGCAACAACAACAGCAACUGUGCCAGCGGCGGCGCCCGCAGUAGCAGUGUGCAGUUCGAUCUUGAGGCGGCCGCUUUUCCGCCUUUGCCCGGUCUUGAUGCCGAUCACGGCAAAGUAUCGACUGAUAUUGGUAGUGGGACUGGCACCGUCGAGUCCUCGUCGCAAAAUCGAUUGUCCGAUGUUGUCAAGGGCACUGCUAAACUCAAGGCUGUCGUCAAGGACAAGGAAAGUGGUAAUCAGCAGCAACCUUCUCAACUGCAGCAGCAGCAGCAGCAAACCGCAGCACUUCCGCAGUCAGCGAUUGCGACAACUGUCGCCAGUAGGUCCGCUAGUCCUGGGGCGGAGAUACAAGGAAACGCACUGGGAAAUGCCGCGUCGACAAAUUCUUUGGUCGCGCAUGCCCUUAAUCCGCCAGUCAACAACGAGAAUACGUCAUCGGUCGAUGCUGCCACCGCCGCGCUCAGCACCGUCAUCGCGCUCACUCCCCCGUCAUCUCCUGAUAAAUCUAUAAAGACUGAUGACUCGAACAUGAUGAACGGUGUGGACGACGCUGUAGUCGCAAACGCGCACCUGGCGACGGGGGCGAUAACGACGGCUACAACGACGACGGCAGCAGCGGCAGCAGCGACGACGGACGAUGCUGAGCUGAUGUCCAGGUGCGAUUGCAACAACGUCGUCGUUGUCCCUCCUCCUACUGCCUCACAGAGCUCUCAAUCGCAGACUGGACUGGCCUCUGCCUUCCCUAUAGAUCUUACGAGGCCAAGCUAUGCCCAAGUAGCGCAACAUUGCCGCGAGCUACCUUGUACAAAACACAAAACAGACGAGAGGGACAGGAAUGUUUAAAAGCUCUGCACACAACGUUAAAGCAUGAUCUGGAUCCUCGGAUUUUCGAAAAUCCUUCCCAGGCAUUCACAGAUAUCUUCUGAACCCCAUCGCGAUCUAUCUAUGAACUGAUCCUCGAAUCGAUGUGACGGAAGAGAGGAAAACACACCUAAACGGCGAAAGCGGCUUAGAUAUAGCGAAGCAAGACGCCAAAUCUAUGGAUUACUACCACACCCGCGACAACGGGGUAAAUAAAUGAUAUUUAGCUGCGCUACGAUGUCAUCGCCAUUUUUUCGGGGUCGGGAUCGGAUCGAGAAUCAGGAUAUCGGAGCUCGACACUGCUUUCACUUACCUAUCUACUUAUCUAUCCUCUCCCCCCCGACACAUCUCCCUCUCGGAUCGACGCCGUCACGUGCUGCAGGCGCGUGAGGAAGAGAGAACUUUUUACAUUGUACAGUGACGUCUCGCCUAUGAUCAACGAUCGAUCGAUCGACGAAUCGAUCAAGAAAGAAUGAGAGAAAGAGAGAGAGAGAGAGAGAAAUAGUGUGUGUGAACGUGUGUGAGACUCGCCGCGCGCUAUUAUAGCGGCGCAUUCGCAGGCGCUACUAUUAUACAGGGUGAUCGGAGAGUCCCGGGACAAGUUUGUCGCCGCGGUUUGAUGAUGUUGAUUGGAUUUAUCGAUAUUUGCAAGUUGGCAUGAUUGUUUUUUAUUUGCUUAUUGCAAUUUGCAAGAUGCAAUUGAUUUGAUUAUAAUUUAUUUCUGACUGUAGGAUGCGAGACGAUUUUAAGGAAUUUUGAAGAUCUAAGCGUUAAUUAAGAUUUAGAAAUCUGAGAUUAGACAUCCGCGUUAAGCAAAUGGGGGAUAAAAAUGUUUGGUGAUUAAAGUCAGGAGAACGGGGGCUACGUGCCAUGUCUCGCCAGCGAGAAAUGCUGGACUGACAAAAAGAACUUUGUAAUAAGAGCCCGAUGAGGCAACUAUCUUUCAAGAUUGAAAAAUCUAAGAAAAUUGAAAGCUUGAGAUUUUACAGAAGUGUAAAUUUAAGAAGUUUAAUGAAUGAAAAAAAAAAUGAUGAUUUAAACAUUUAUCAAUUUAUAAACCUUUACGAGUUUCGGAUAGACGGAAGUUUUGAAUGUAUAUCUAAGAUUUAGUUUUAAGACUUCGUUAGUAAUUGAUAAGUUAAGGAUUCUUAAUUAAUAACGAGUAUAUAUACAUAUAGAGAGAUAUCUAAAAAAAAGAAACUUAUGAGUCUAAAGAAUUUAAUAAACGACAUAUAUAUAUAUAUACACAAUUGAAAUGUGGUUUGGAAAACGUGCAGGGGCGUAUUGUAAAACGAAAUAUUCGUUUAAAUGCCAAAUUUUUCUCUCAACAACAACCGUAUGGCUGUGCGGCUUCCCGAUCACCCAGUACAUUUGUGUGAGAGAAGAGUAUUGUUAUAUAUCGCUUUUGGUUCUGUGAUUGAGGUACAUAUUUGUUAGCUUGUAUAAAAACGCGUUAAAAGAAAUAAGAUACAUUAAUUUUUAAAGAAUCCCUUCCCCCGCCCCUCCUUCGCGCGCGCAGGGCCGUAAUAUUAUAAUCAGAAAGAAAACAUGUCUAUAUAGAUAUAUGUAUAUAUGUAUAUGUAUAUGUAUAUAUAUAUAUAUAUAUAUAUAUAUAUAUAUAUAUAUAUAUAUUUGUGCCAAACAUACAUAUAUUGCUUGACGAAAUCUCCCGAUAUGCAACGAAUUGGACGCCGAAGUCAGUACCGAGUAGAAAUUCUCGCCAAGUAGAAAGCACGGUGGAAAAAAAAUCUCUUCAAAAAAAAUUCUCUCUUCCACGCCCCUAAUUCUUUUGUGAAAAAAAAUUAUAAGAAGAAAACGAAGAGAUCGUAUUUCACGAAACUAUGAUUUUAUAUGCGAGAUGAUUUAUAGAUGAUUUAAGGGAUGAUAGUAAAUGAUAACGAAAGAUAAUAAUAAUGAUAAGGAGGAGGUGAGGGAGGAGGACGGUCGAGAAGUAUACAUAAAUUCGUAUUUUAUGCGAAUAACGCACGUAGGAAAUUGUUGGAAAGGAAAUUAGUGGUGAUAUCGAAUUUGCAAAACUAAAGGAUAAAAAUCGAAUUCAUAAUUGAGGAAUGAUCUUGGAAAAUAUAAAUUUUGCAAACAAAAUCAUUUUUUUAAAUCUUAAUAAUUUGUAUUGAAAAAAAAUGUAAUUAUAAUUAUAAUGCACAAGGCAAUAAAGUUUCUAUUAUGUAAUGAAAAACUUAUCUAGUAAAAAAGAAUUUAAAAAAUUGAAAUAAAAUUCUAUACAAAAACGUAUAUUAUAUUGUAAUAUGUUUAAAGUCUCCCGAGAUACGCAACCGAAAGUGAAUAUUUCACGGAAUUUAGCAUAAAUCUACUCUCAUUCAUAUACUCGGUUUGCUCGAAAAAUCUUUAUUUGUGAAUCAUUCCUCAAUUAGCGAAGUCCAUUUUAGAUAUUCUAAUGUUUGAAUUGUUUACGCUCGAUAUUUUCGAAUUCUUCAAUUCGGCUCUUCGGGAGUUUCGAGAUUUUUCGGAAGAUCUGCCUGAAAAUUUUCCAAGUUUUGCAUUUCGAGUUAAAUUACACGGUUACCCAUCGCGAAAUUUUUCACAAUUUUAUCUUGAUUCCGGUGUUUUCUUGUCUAUUCCGAUAAAACAUCUUUUAGACUUGUGCGUUGUUUCAGGAAGUGAUUCGUAUAGUCCGUGUUUAAUUUUUUUUUCUUAUUUUUUUAUUGCGAUUCUCAAUCUCCUAAUUUUUUACCCAGACAACGCAAAUCUCUAUUCUAAUUUUUGGACAUUGUUUCCGGGAAAUGGACAAAUCCAUUCCUUAUUUUUUGAGCUCCCAUCAUGAUUUCAUUCCCAUUUUCUUAAUUUUAUUCAGUCCAGCCAGUGAUUCUUCUUUACUCUUCCGCCGUCUCAUUCGUAGCAGUUGCUCCAACGCCCCACGAAUGAGCGUUGUUCAUCAUGAUGAUCAAUUCCGUCGAUUCCGGAGACCAUCAGGAGCAUCGCGCGGCCACUUCCGGUUUUGCGUCAAACUUAAUUCCCUUUUCUUUAACUAAGCUCCCAUUUAUACUCUUCGCCGCGAUCAGAUCUUAUUCUUUCUACUUGACCUAAUUAUGAGGUUGAGACAUUUAAGAAUUUUAGGAUCACGCUUCUACUAUCGGCAAGGAGAGAGAAUGAAAAAAGAAAAAAAGGAUGUGCGCGAGAGAACAUAUUAAUUCGGAGUAGCUAGUGUUGCGAGAAUCGGGAUGACUAAUUGAGCACGCAUUUAAGUGCCUCAAAGUAUGCUGUAUAUUAUUGAUUAUCGAUUACCAUAAUUAUAAUAUUAAUUAGUACUAUUGAUUGCUCUAUUAUAUAUUAUUAUCUCAUCAUUAUUUUAUUAUUAUUAUUAUUAUAAGCAGGAGCUUUUGGCUUUAGGUGUUAUGAUGAUGCAAAUGUACCUACACAUACACAAAUACAUAUACACUGUAUUGAGAGCAAAUAAAACGAAAAAAGUAUGAAAGAGAGAGAGAGAGAGAGAGAAAAAAAAAAGAUUGUUGCUCAUAGGAAAUCGAUUCUUCGUCUUUUUUUGUUUUCAUAUAUUUUUUAUUACAUUUACGAAUGCGAUGGAAAAGAUAAGAAAAGAAAGACGAGAAAUCGAUAUCUUGCGAAUAAUGUGUCAAUGUGUAUACUAUUAUAUUUUGAACUUAUGAUGCUGCCGUUUCAUUUAUCUAUUGAUACAUACAUAUAGGGCGUUUCAAAAUAGGGUUGUCUAUUUCUGUUAAUAUAUUGAGUUGAAUAAAUUAAAUAAACGACAUGUCGGACAAAUAGACUCUCGGAGAAUCGUAUAUUGCGCUGAAAAGACUUUCCUUCUGGAUUCUUGCGAUUUUUCAUGGAAUCAGCGAACUUGAUUCUGUACAUUGGACAUCUUGAAUAUUGAGAUUAACUUUCUUCAGAAUUUUUUUGUAAUUUUUAUUUUUAAAUGUUAAAAUACUCAAGUUUUAUCUUAAAAAAUUGAGGAGCAAUUCACAAACGAUGAUUGUUAAAGAGCUAAGAGAAAUCCUAACAUUUUCCACUUUUGUAAUAGAAUGUAAUGUAUAAGAAUUGUAAAAUUCUUGAUUUAAUAAUUCCAACAUGAUUUAAUAAUUCCAACAUGAGAAUCGCACAAGAAAUGUUCCUAAAUCGUAAGGAACCAAGGAAGAUGCCGGGAAAAUAGUUUGCGUUUGAUUCUCUGAAAAUGACAUAUUUGACAUUAUAAUUCUCGUCCAUUGCGUUUCUCUGCGAGAGAAAUAUCCCAAUUAGUUUCCGAUGAAGCUUUCCCGUACAUCCGAAACAAAUACAACGGAUGUGUUCGGGAUGCCGGAAGAUGAUCGAUCGUCGAUCGAAUCGGAAGCGCCGGAUUUAGGACGAUGUAGAUCUUUUCAACUCGCAUGCGGUGCUCCAGAGGCGAGUCCUACAGCGCGUUUCAUUAAUAAUAUAAUGUACGAGGCGUUACAUAUACACACACGCACACACAGAUCUAUAUAUACAUAUAUAUAUAUAUAUAUUUUUUUUUUAUGAACCGCGCGCAGUUCUCUCUUCGAGACGCGCGGUUUCGCAUCGCCGCCGCUCUCCAACGAUGUAGUAAAAAUAUUCAAUGUAUAUAUAUUAUAUACGCGUAUGUAUACUACUAUACACAUACACACAUACAUACACACACACACACACACACACACAUAUAUAUAUACACACGCGGGAUAGGCUAAGUAUUAAUUAUAGUACAUACGUUGAUGUACGUGUGCGUAAUGUAAUUCGCGAUUCUACGAUUCGCGAUUCUAUAUUGCGAUUUGUAACUCUCGUAUCGCGGAUUCAUAAGAAAAAAAAAAUAAGAAAAAAAGAAAAACAAGCGAUUCACGUAAUCGCGCGCCUUGUCACAUAUACGCAAGCGACUCUUAACAAUUCAUCAAACGACCCCCUCCCCUCUUCCCCCCGCUCUUCUUUUCUUUGUUAGAUUUUCUUUUCUUGGAUUAACACUUGGGUUCUUUGGUGUUCCUUUUUUCGUUUAUCCUCUUCACUCGCAACUCGUUUGUUGUUUUUUAAUUGCACACACGUGGAAGUCAAAAGUGCGGUGUAAUUGUAGUCUGUUAACGAAAAUUAGGCGGAGGGAUCUAUUAACGCUGUAGAUACUAAUCGUGAGAGAAAAAUAGAUGAUGCGGCGGAUAAAAAGUGAGAUAUUGGUUCGCAUGAUUAACGGCGUUGUUUUUUUUUAGUGAUUCUAGGAGAGUUAGAAUAUAGGAAAAAAGGGAAGGAGAAUUAGUAAGAUAUUGCGAAAGUACUUUGCUCGUUAAUUUAAUAAGCGUAUUACGGCUAAUCGAGUGCUAUUUAUGUGAUUUUUAUAGAUCCACGCCGAUCAAUUUUGGUUCUAUAGUAGACUGAGCUUUUAGAUCCCCUUUCCCUUCCCUCAGGUCGUUGCCCGAGAUCGGAUACUUUUAGGUAACGUUCGAAAAUUUUUGAUAAUCAAUGUCGCAUAAAAUAAUGAGGGUUUUUCAAAGAUUGCACCGCGUGAGAGUAAUGUGAAAUAAAACUCGACGAAAACUCCGAUCUCGCGUAAUUGUCCGUUGCGAUCGAGAGUACGUCGCGGUGGAUUCUCUCUGGCGAUAUUGUGUCGAUUAAUUAACCGAAAAUAAAGAACACACACAAUAGCAACAUUUCGUUAACGCAUCAGGAUAAGCUGUGAUUAUAUAAAAGAAAAAGAAAACAGAGAACCGAGCAAGAAAGCAGGACGCAACAGGAUGUGUAUUCCUAGAAAGUCUGAUUUUGUAAACUACUUCUACGAGGAAAACACUUGUGUAUUAUAUAUAUAUGAUAUGCGAUAUAUAUGAUAUGAUAUACGAUAUGAUCUAUGACGUUUGUUUAUUACUAUGUAAAGUAACAGAUUUCGAAAUUAAACAUUAAUUACUGUUAA